rnacentral:rRNA from 1 species
GAUGAACGCUGGCGGCGUGCCUAAUACAUGCAAGUCGAACGCUGAAGGAGGAGCUUGCUCUUUCCGGCUGUGUUGCGAACGGGUGAGUAACGCGUAGGUAAACUGCCUGGUAGCGGGGGAUAACUAUUGGAAACGAUAGCUAAUACCGCAUAACAGUAGAUAUCGCAUGAUAUUUGCUUGAAAGGGGCAAUUGCUCCACUACCAGAUGGACCUGCGUUGUAUUAGCUAGUUGGUGAGGUAACGGCUCACCAAGGCGACGAUACAUAGCCGACCUCAGAGGGUGAUCAGCCACACCUGGACUGAUACACGGCCCAGACUCCUACGGGAGGCAGCAGUAGGGAAUCUUCGUCAAUGGACGGAAGUCUUACCGAGCAACGCCGCGUGAGUGAAGAAGGUUUUCGGAUCGUAAAGCUCUGUUGUAAGGGAAGAACGAGUGUGGGAGUGGAAAAUUCACACUGUGACGGUAUCUUACCAGAAAGGGACGGCUAACUACGUG